rnacentral:snRNA from 1 species
GAAUGUAAAGGCUAUCUGGCUGCGACAUCUGUCACCUCAUUGAUCGCCAGGGUUGACACGGCUGAUCUGGCUGGCUAGGUAGGUGUCCCCUUUCUCCCUCACCGCAGCUUCAGGAGGGAUGCUCCUGGAGCUGUGCUGCCCUGCUAGAACCUCAAAACAAGCUCUCAAGAAAAAAAAAAAAAA